AGGAACAUGUGGUUUAAUUCGAUGAUACGCGAGGAACCUUACCUGGGCUAGAACGCAGAAUGACAGAUGCCGAAAGGUGUUUUCCCAGCAAUGGGCAUUUUGCGAGGUGCUGCAUGGUUGUCGUCAGCUCGUGCCGUGAGGUGUCGGGUUAAGUCCCAUAACGAGCGCAACCCCUAUUGUUAGUUGCCAGCGGGUAAUGCCGGGAUCUCUAACGAAACUGCCGGUGUAAACCGGAGGAAGUGGGGAUGACGUCAAAUCAGCACGGCCCUUAUGUCCAGGGCUACACACGUGUUACAAUGGCCGAUACAACGGGCAGCCACCUGGUGACAGGGAGCUAAUCCUAAAAGUCGGUCUCAGUUCGGAUCGAAGCCUGCAACCCGACUUCGUGAAGCUGGAUUCGCUAGUAAUCGCAGAUCAGCCAUGCUGCGGUGAAUACGUUCCCGGGCCUU
rnacentral:rRNA from 1 species